rnacentral:rRNA from 1 species
GGGUGCUCGAGUGGCGAACGGGUGAGUAACACGUGAGUAACCUGCCCUCGACUUUGGGAUAACUUCAGGAAACUGGGGCUAAUACCGGAUAGGAGCUCCUGCUGCAUGGUGGGGGUUGGAAAGUUUCGGCGGUUGGGGAUGGACUCGCGGCUUAUCAGCUUGUUGGUGGGGUAGUGGCUUACCAAGGCUUUGACGGGUAGCCGGCCUGAGAGGGUGACCGGCCACAUUGGGACUGAGAUACGGCCCAG